GGGGUGGUGGGUGGGGGUGUUGAGGCUUUUUUUCCUAAACAGAAUCCUUUAAGCCAGUUUAAAAAGUUUGUCCUUGCAGAGAGAAAUGUUCUUUUCUUUAGUCUAGAUUAGGCAUUCGGAUGGGAAAUGGAAUGUGGAGGUCCUGGCCCAGCUUUCUUUGCAACCACAUGUGAAUCACUUCAUGCUGUGGCCCCUUGUUGCUGUACCAAACUUUACCCUGCUUUGCUUGAUUUAAAGCCUGUGGGAGGUGGUUGUCAUAUUUUGCCUUUUUUAGGGACAUCAGCAUGCAUAAUGCAAGACUCGGGAUUCUGGACAUCACUACAGUAAGCACAAUAAAGGUCUGAGAACCUCUUGGUCAAUUCUAAAACUCCCACCUCUUGCCACACUGUUAGAAACAGGUCCUUGUUGAGCUGCUUUUAGCUUUUAUCAUCUUUGAUAAAAUUUUAGUACUUAUCAUCUCUGUCUCCAUGGGUGCACCUUCCUGGUGUCCUGUUGCUUUCCAAACAUUGAGUUCUACUGUUGUCACAAAGGAUCUGGAAACAGAUAUAUGAUCACAAAGUGUAAGACAGAUAGCUGAACGGCACCAAAAAAAAAAAAAAAAAAAAGUGUUCAAUCCUUAAAACAAAAGAGUUAAAAUAAAAUUAAUUUCUCUUAUCCAUUUUCCAAAGAUGCCAGCCUUUCUAUAUAAACUCCUCUGUCAUUAAUCUAAUAAAGUUCUACUUUGUUCAUAAUUUACUACACUCUUGAAUAAGCCAUUCUAAUAUUUGUGCAGGGCAAGUACAUAAAUCAUUGUUGCCCUUCUCUACUUUUUUUACUUAUCUGGUUCUUUCAAGGUCAAUAACCUACCUUACAACAUUCAUCUGGUUUAAAUAUUCAGCUAUUGCCUUUUACACCUCUCUUCCUUGUUCACAUCCAUUUGGAUAUCUGCAGCUGUAUCUUCUCAAGUAGCUAUUGAUCAUGUCUCCUUGCUAAAGGUUGCUAACUUCGUCAGCAGUAAUGAUACAAAUUACAUCUGUUAGGGUUCACUCACACCUCUCUUUCUGAAGGAGAGACUGCCUUCAGACUUUGUUGUUAUUGGCCAUCUUUUCUGCCUAAGAUAUCUAAAACUCAGUGAGAAAAAUUAUAUGCUGGAAAAUAUCCUCAUUCUGACACAUGUAGGCUCUCAGUGCCCAGGUCAUGCAGAGAAGCUAAUCAAUCCCUACUGACCUCCAGGAGCCUGGAAUAUAGCUGGGUAAGGCCCCAGUCCAGCAAUGCACUUAAGGAUGUGCUUAUGUAAACACAGGAUCCAUCCCAUUUUCAGUGCAAUUUGGUGAGAAGUGCGUUUCUGAGCAGAGCAUCUCCAGGGAUGCUCCUUUUUGCCAGGGCUGUGCAGGAUGAGGCUCUACCAGUUGCCAACAUGAGCACACUCCAAGGUAUUUGGUAAUCUUGCACAGGGCAAAGUAACUUUCUUUGUCUUACUUGUGGGGAGGCUGCUGAGGUGCCACUGCUCUGGAAUCAGUGUGUGUUUGUGAGCGUGAUCUCUUGUCCUCUGCACAGCUGAUGAGCUCUUAGGAGCUUGACUUUCUCUUGCUGACUGUUUAAGAGAAAAUUAAAUUAUUUAGGGUUAGGCAGAAUAAUUGGGUGCUUCAGGACCUUACAGUUAUGCCUGCUCUGUGCUGAGGGAUCAUCCUGUCUUCUGACUUCAUCAGAUCCUUGACCCAAUUGUGUUGCUGCCACAAGAUUGCCAACCUAUACCAAAAAACAGAGGAGUGGAGUUUUGCUGUGGUUAUGUGCCGAGGAGGGAGGCUGGAGUAGUUACCACCAUGGUGUAGAAGAAAACAGGGCUAGAAAGGACCUGAACAGGUCACCUCAUCCACCCCCACACAAACCACUCCUGACUCGUUUGUCUGAAGUGUUUUUUUAACCCUGUCAGGCGUGGAGAUCCCCCAGCCUGCCCAGGCAAUCCCCUCCAGUGCCCAGUGACCCCUGCAGCAGGGAAGUUAUUCUAGUUCUGAACUCAGAUCUCCCUUGCUGCAUUUAAACCCAUUACUUUUUUUGUGCUUUCCUGUGGAUAUGGAUACAAAUUUAUUGCCUUCCUCUUUGCAUAAGCCAUUUGUAUAAUUGAAGGCUGUUAUCAAGUCUCCUCUCUGCCUUCCCUGCUCUAGACUAAAUAGCCCAGAUAGGAUGAAAGCUGGAAUGGGGUGUCAGGGAGAAGGAGUUAGAGGAGGAAAUCAGAGGGGGAUUAAUCCUGCUUUCAUUCCCUGUAGAAACAGACUUUGCCUUCUGAAGGAUGGGGAUGUGGGAGGGGGAAACAGGAUUCUCAGUGCUGCUGAUUCACUAAUGCAGCUCUGUGAAAUGUGUAUCUGAUUGAUGGGCCACUGCCUCACAGACUAAGGAAGAGGGGCUUGGGCUGACAGUCUGCUGAGCUGUGACCCUGCUCUCCAGCCUCUGUGCUUGGAAAUGAAGGCUUCACUUUCUUACACUGGUGAGGAGUGUAUCCAGCUCACACGUCACCUCCUGUGAGAUGUAUCUGGUUGAGCUUCUGUGCAUCCCAAAAGCUGCUUCCAGGUGCUGUGUGUGUCAUACAAUCAGACAACAUGAUGAUGUAGAACCACCACCAUCUAGACCACCCAGCAUGAGCCCUGCCAGGGAGCAGGAGUCCUCUCCUCUGAUGGCAAAACCUUGUUUCUGCUGCCCUGGCCGCGGCUCUGUGCUUCCCACCCAUGGACAGCAUGGGAAGCCACCCACCACACACGCUGCCUACAUGUGUUUCAGCUGCCUUCAUGUUUGCAGCUUGAUUGCUGUUCAUAAAAGCAGCACGUGGAACAGGCAAACUCCGUGUGCUCCAGAAACCCUUGGGGUGUGCUUUGUCAAUGUCACACACAUCAAGGAAGUUCAGCGAGCGCUCAGAGUGACUUCUCGUGUUCAGAGCCCUUUUCCAUUAUUCACAUCUGCUGUCAGAGCUGCAGCCCUUGCUGUCACAACCUGAAACAAAAAUACCUCCCAGCCUGGAGACUUCCAAAAGCCUAAGGUGGGGGGAAAAUGUUUCCUUGCUACUUAAUGCUCCCAAACAGCCUUUGGUGACAGUUUUGCCUUGCUCCAAGCGCUCCAAGAACAGCACGUAAGGUGGAGCUGUUUUCCCUAGACUCCUGGUGACAUGGGAUCACAGGAUUAUUUACAUCAGAAAAGGGCUGGCCUUGAAGAAAGCAAAAUAUUAGAUGCUGUUUGGAGCAGCAAGAAAUUUCAUUGCAUUUCAAGUGCACUGCAGAUUAACUCCAGCACUCCUGGUCUCUCUUCCUCCCCCACUGGCUCAUCAGUCAGCUGUUAAGACUUUAUAGUUCAACUUUGGAGUUAAAAAAAUCUUGACAAAUUGCAAUCCAAUUGUUUGGUUGGGUUUUUUUCUUUCCUCUCCCUUUCCCCCACCCUCCCUUCUCAGAGUGACUUUGAAGAUGAUAUUUGUAUUUCUGAAUUAAAACCACAUUUGCCCAAUACUGCAGAGGGGUGAGGCAGAAGAAAGAAGAAAAGCUUUUGUUCUCCUCCUCACAGCGACCCUCACCUGCCAGGGGCAAGCUCCACAAUAAUUUCUAACAGCUGAGGUUAGUCAGGGACACCUAAUCCCAGAAAGCUGGCUCUGAAUUCCAGCACCAGCACACAGUGUUUGAGUUUCAUCAACAGCCAUUUACAUCUAAUUCUCCCAAUCCUCUGAAGUGUGAGUAUGUGUACAGGUGUGUGCUUAUUUAAUCAAAAAUAUAUUUUUUUUCAUAAAUUUGAACCCAAAUGACAUCAACAGCAGUGACAUUAUGUUUUUUUUAAAUCUAAGCAAGCUCAGGAAUUGUUUUGAGGAUGUGCUGGGGUCUUUUGAGUGUACCCUAAACAUCAGUGUCUACAGAAUGCCCAAGAAUUAUGAUUCUCAGCCAAAGGGAGGGCUGAAUUCUCCUUCCCUGAUUUCCUGUAAUGGAAAAGGAGUGCUCUGUGCAAAUAGAACUGAAAGUCUCUUGCUGAGUGUGCUGAGACCUGUCCAGUGUGUCUCCAGAAGGGAUGUAAGGAGCAUCCUGGCAGCACAACAGAGAGAAACCUCCCAGGGUUCAGCUGAUGGGAGGAUGUGACAGCAACGGGCUCACUCCGAAAGAAAUGCAUCUUCCCAGGCAUGAACAGGGAUCAGAUGGGGUGUGGUGGGUAAAAUUACAUUUUUUUCUUCUUUGGAGUCAGUCAGAAGGAAUAAUUUGUUAUUUUUCUCAGGAGAGUUUUAAUUUUUUCAAAGGUAGUCCCCUGGUUGACCCUAAGUAUUGGUGACCCAAGGAUAAAACUCCCAUUCUGCUGCAUCCCUUCCCACAAAGGAAAUUUCCAGCAACUUCUCUAUUUGUGGUGUUUAAGAUCAUUCUCUUUUUAUUAAGAAAAAAACUUUGGUUUUGCUGUUUGGCCAGUUGAAAUGAGUAAUGAAAAUAUUAUUUACAUGGGACAAAUGAAAUGUUUUCUUUGAAAUUAUUUCAUGUUACUAAUUGAUUACAGUGGUACUGCUUGGAUGUGUGUAGCAUACAGCAUCCAGUCCCUCUGUUAGAGCAAUACUUCAGCCAACCUGAUAUAAACCAGCCCAUGGGAGAAAACAAGAGGAAAAGGUGUCAGGUAUUUAAGGCUGACCAUCCCAUGGAUCCAGUUCAGUCUCCACAAGGAAACAAUUAGAGUGUCUGAAAAUUUGUCCUAAAAAUAUUGGAAGUUUCUGUGGAACAUGAAACACUAGAGAAUACCGAUAAUUAAAAACAGAAUAGAAAUUAAAAAAUUAUCUAGAGAAAACUCCUCCAAGGAAUAGGUAUUUUCUGUUGUUCAGUGCAGACACCACUGAGAGCCUGCUAGAAUGGAAAGUACUUGCUACUGAUGAAAAGUAAUAACAUAAAUCCACAGUAUGUCAGAAUUCAAAUCAGAAAGGGAAAAAAUUAAUAUAAAGGAUUUAAGUGUUACAGCACAAUUCCCUCAAGAAGAAAAAGAAUCUCAUAUUUGGAACUGAUUUAAAUAUAAUAAUCUUCAAAUAUUCAUGGCUGAAAAUGUUUCCUAAAUGCUGUUUCCAAAAUGUUGUGAGACAACAACUGUGUCCUGAGCUGAUUUCAAAACCAUGGAAAAUAAUAUUGUUUCACAUAAACACAGAAGAAAAUGUGAUAUCAACAGAAAUUAAGCUGAAGAUACGGUCUCUUCUUAUAGAGUUGCCUUAUUUGUAUAUCUGUGUCAUAAGUGCCAAAAUCUUCUUGUUCCUCACCCUCUCUUGUCAAUGGCAGGCAAAGACUGCUGGGGACAAUGAUUUUGCCACCCUGGUGUCCUGUGACCUUUGGAGGAUGAGUGAUCCUUCUCCCUGUGGGAGAUUUGGUGUUUUGCCACUGGUCAACAAAAUGCUGUCCUCAAUGCAUCUGUCAAGAUCCCACUCUGGAACAGAAGAUCAGAGCAAACGGGGGCUGAGGAGAACAAAAGCUGACCCAAACCUUUGACCUAAAUUUAACAUAAAGCCAAAUGAAACCUUAGAGAUUUUCUGCUUCUGAACUCCUCUGAAGUCCUCCCCAGUGUCAAGGCUGGACUGAUGUGCCAGCAGUGCUGUCCCUGUCCCAGUGUCUGACAGCAGUGAUGGCACCUUCUUCAGACACCCUGACCAAAAUGCCUUCAGAGUAUCUGCUGGGUGCCUUUGUCUUUGGAGGUUUGGAUAGUCCUGUCCAUGCACUGACCACUAUUUAACGCCUGAAAGAAAAUAAGGACUGUGACAAAAGGUGCUGGCUGAGCUCCAUGGACCAUCCAGUGUGGGGACAGCAGUGGUGGAGCAAAUCCACUGGACAGAGAAACCAGGCACAGAAGAAAUUAUCCCAUUUUCUUAUUUCAGCCCAAGUUAGAUGGGGAAAAUUCUAUGUGUUGGCCUAGUGACAAAUCUAUUUUGACUGUCAAAACUUAGAAAACUUUUCUUUUUCUCACAACUUGUCUUGGACCCAGUGGUGUGGGUUUUGCAAAUAUUUCAUCUAUCUGUUUCUAGAAGCAUACAGAACAUGAAUUACUGGAAAUGAAGCAAAAUCUACCAGACAUAAACUCAGCCCAUCCUCUAUAGCUCAUAUUCUCUGAAGACUCAUUUGUCCUUUUCCUCUUUUUAGAUAUUUCCUCUCUUCUCUCUGGUCUGUUCUUGUUAUUUGUUUCAUCAGCCAUUUGUUAUACAACUCUUGGCAAAGUAUCAGGGAAAUCUUCCUGUGAAUGGGGAAGUGCUUUCUUAAGGGAGCAACAACAGUUUCUUUGCUUGAGAGAGCAGAAAACAAGUCAAGCCCAAGUAUUGUUUUUGCUGAGACAGAGUUCAUGAGGACGGUGAUGUGCAUUGUUGGACUCAGUGGUGCAGCUGAUGAAGCUUGUCCGCUUGGGAUUUUCUUUGGUUUUUUAAAAGGUUUAAGGUGUUAUUUCUCCCUGUGAAACUUGCCUCACUGCUGUGCUAGUGGUCAAGUAGGCAAUGAUGGAGGGAUGGGCUGAGCUUAUGCCUGGUGGGAACUGAGCUCCCUGUGUAUGGCUCCAUGAUGGGAGUGGGUCUUCUCAUCUAGGGGUGGGGAUGCCUUUCUGGCUACAGGCAUCCCAGGCAGUCAUUAAAACAAGCAAACUGCAUUCUUUCAUCUCUCCUGGGUCCACAGCUUCCUCAGCCCAGACGAGAUGGCCUUAGACCCAGUCUGAGCCUCAAUAAACUUUUCACUUUUGCAGUUUCACCCAAGGCUUGAGUUUGCAAUGGGAUUAUCCUGAGAUUCGUCUGCUUCAGGUCUGUUGGGUUCCUCUCUGUCUCCUCUCCAGCUAAAAGAUUAUAGCAGAGCUGCACAAGCAUGUCCCAAACUCAGAGCAAACUGAAGGAAAGGCAGCUCCAGCUGCAGCUCACAGCCUGCCAGAGAGACUCCCCUGGCAGGUCUCUGACGAGCCUGUUAGUACAAGUUCACUCCAAGUGGCAAUUCCGGACAAAGCAAAAUUUUACAUGCAGUUCAUAUUAGUUCAUAUUGGCUCACAUUGCCAGCAAUUCAGUAGCUCCUUCUCAGUGCUCAAAUCUCAGCUGAAAGAUUUAUGUGGACUUGCCAGGCCAACUCUCUGAGGAAGUCAUGAAGUUCCCAAAAUUUUCAGAGCAUUUUCCAGGAGGAAGCAAGUUAGAGCUAAAGAGACACUGAAGAAAGAAGGAAAAGAUUCAACUCAGCAGUUGUUUAGUAUAAAUGGAAUCUCAUUCAUUCUAAAAUUUCAGCCCUUUCUGAUGACUUCACAGUUUUAAAGAAAAUAAUAUUUUUGAGCUCUCCUAUGCAUGCUGAAAAGCUCUCUGUUCCUCCUCUGUGUGGCAGAAGAUGCAUUAGGAUUUAUACAAGGCUUUGACGCAAGGUACGUGAUGCUCACCUCUGAAAAUAUAACUGAUAUUUUCUCUGAGGAUGGAAAAAGGAUGGGCCAGUCACCCUUUCUCUGGGAAUUUCCAGCCAAAGGGAGUAGUUGUGUACUUCAUUGGUGAGUGGGCAGCAGCGUGGCUUGUUGGAUCUUAUAGUUGGGCACGGAGUGAGGGACACAUGGAGAUGGCAGGACUGCUGUCCCCUCGUGCUCGGCCAUCAUCAGGCGUGUGGCUUUGGCAGACAUCGUGAAUCAAAACCCUGAGGGGUCUUUUCAAACUCUGCUGUACCCUGACCUACCUCAGCCCUUCUCUCAAAGCUGUCCCUUCCUCCAGCCAGAAUGGUGGAUUUGAGUACACAAAGAAACUAAAUCAGACAAAACUGUCUGGAAAAAAACCUGUAUCCCUAGGUGGGUGUUGAUGGACAUUCUCCAUUGGCUGAAAGUUUCUUAUCUAUGUUCAAGGACACAUUUAUUUUUAAAUCUCUUUUCCAUUGGACAUCUACAUGUGAAGUCAGGUUGCAGACACAGAGGCAGGCUCAAGAACAGGCACGAGCUGCCUGAUUUAUGUUGCAUACCAUAAUUACAGUAGCAUACACUUUGGACUGACAGCAAUUCUCAGCAACAGAGUACUUUAGAAAUAUUAAUCUCACAUCAGCUAUUUGUGUUGAAUAUUGGCUUAUUCAGCAGGUGAUGUGAGCCAAUAUUGUCAUAUUUUUAUAGACAGCAAAACAGAGAGGAAGAAACAUUAAGUGACCCACCUAAGGUCAAGCAGUAUGUCCAAGAGAAAACCUAGUUAAGCUUGGGGAUUACUGCCUCCCAGUGAUGGAGAAAUGUCUGCAAUAUUUCUGAGAAGCUAACAUAUAUACCUCACAAUAAAUUAGAAAUUAUACUGGCUUACAUUAGUCCUUCACUAGUGUAAGGGACAUUUUCAUUGCAUCGUAUUGCAAAAGCCAACGGACUUGAUGCUUUAGGCAGCAACAGCCAGAUCCUCCAAAAUGUCACCAUGAUCCUCCAUGUGCAAGUCCCACAGGCUGCACUUUCUUAAAGGAGAGUUGAAUCUUCAGCUGGUGAUUAAUACAAGCUGUGAUUAGCUUGGGAUUUGGCAAAAAUGGCCAAAGCUUUGAGUAUUUUAACCUUGUCUUCUCGCUAUUCAGCAUUUCCCAUUCUGUGAGCUGAGAGGGACUCAUACAGAUGGGGCUGUUCCCCAGUUAUGGGGAUGGGCUACAUGAUGAGGAACAGGAGUUCUGUGUCCAUGGAACUUGUACAGCAUCAAGUCUCAAGGUAACAGCAUUUCUUAAAUUGAAUACUGAUGUUGUAGGAAUUUUAGGAAACUAAUUAUCCCAUGAAAAGUUGAGUAAACUUCAGAAGAAAUAGGUUUACAUUGAAAAAUUGGCUAAUAAUAGGGAUAAGAUAAUUAUACAUAGCGGGGAAAAGCCAAGCCUUUUGUUCCUAGACUUUCUUCUCUUACAUCACAUUAUGGAUGCCAUUCAAGGAAGCAACCUCUGCAGAAUAAUUCUAAGUGUUAACUAAUCAUGUUUCAACAAAAAUGAGCAGGGUCUCAGAUUUUACUUGGCUUGGAUGUAUAAAGGCAAAUUAUAAGUUACUUAAUAAAACAACAGAAUCAUUCAACAUUGAUUUACUUGUUUGUUUUGCUAUAAGAAAUGAAAUUUUUAUUGGAACGAAAUUAAACAAAAGUUUAUGUGCUUGUAUUCCCCAUAGCCUUUUAUACUGUACUAAUAUAGUAAUAUUCAUAAAUCAUAUCAGUUUUCAAAUUUCCUCAGCAGUGACCUAGACAACAAAUGCCUAACAACUUGCUGAGAGACUUUGAAAUUAAAUUCAGCUGUAAUAUCAUCUUACUAAUUUAUGGCAAGUCUGGUUGCUACAAGGAUACACUUAAAGAACCAUGUACACUGAAGUACAUAGUGGGGAUAAGAUAAAACAUGGGUUUAGUAUCAUGUAGUUAUUCCACUAGAAAGAUUUAUUCUACGUUUCAUUACUUUACUGAACAUGAUGUGUUCCUUGGGAGAGAGGAAAUCUUAGAUAAUUAAACAUGUAAAUACUAGGCCUUCAACCAAGUAAAACAUGGAACACACUAGAUAAGAAAUUAAACCUUUAUAUCUAUUGAAGGAGUCUUCCCUUUGACAUUUGUUAAUAUGAACAUUCACAUAGACACGUGGACUCUAUAUUAAUGUGUAUCUAGAAAUAUAUACGUGAUUAUACAUACAUACAGUCUUCACAGCAGGCAUAAUAGUAAAAUAUUAUUUAGGGUAGAACAGACAUUAUCUGGUGCAACUGGAAUCACGUUUCUGAAUUGCCCAACAUCCCUUAAGCCCAUUUUUUGUCCCACUGCAACUUUUGAACUUCUGCAAGGCUCAUUAUGGCAAAUUGAGAUUGAUGACAAAGUGCAGCAUUUUUAAAUUAUUAGUAACAGAAACAAGCUUUUUCUUUUAUCAUUGCUGUUGCUUGGGAAAAGUCUCAGAAUUGCUUGGCUUUUGAAGGUCCUCUCCCUGUCCUUUCUAACCCAUUCUAAGCAGCUAGCUGGCCAAUUAAAACAAUCUCUCCUUCGGAAAGCAAGCAUUUGUCAGAGUUAAGAAUGAAGUCUUUCUUCUACUACAUCUAUUGUCCCAUUCAGUCAUUUACAUAACUACUCCAGUGUUAAUCAAGUGCCUGUAGGCAUCUCUCUAGAAAAGUGUAAGGCCAUAAAAAUAAAGGCAGACAUAUCUAGUUAUAGAUGAACCUUCCACAUACUGCAGAUCUUUUCUCACACACUUAUCUUUGUUUAUCUCCACCUCUUUAAAUUGGAAAACUCACAAAAAUCCAUCUCCUGUGAGAUUUCCAAGGUUUCUUGAUUUCAUUUGGGUCAGAACUGACAUAAAAAGAUGCAUGUCUCAGAGCAUUUCUGAGCUGCUGCCAGGAACAGGGAGUGCUGGACUGUGCCACUGAAAAAGAAAAAAAUAAAAGGUUUUUUGAAAAAUCACCAAAUUUUUUAACCUCUAAAAAAAUCAGCCUUGUUCAGUCUUGGGUAUGGUUAAAAGAGCUGCCCUGAUUUAUUGGUGUCAAACAAAGUAUGUUAGGGCAGAACAUCACUUUGAAAUGGAAAAAGUGUCAGUGGAAGCACUGCCCAACAGCACGGCUUGGGCUGGGUGAGGCCUGAGCCUUCUCUAACACUGGAGAAAAAGAAUAUUAAAAAAGGAAGAAUGCUUUAUCUGGAAGUCCAUCUCUUAGUCUCUCAGAUAAAGCUGGCUGUGAAGUCAGCCUCAGCAUCUGGAGUUGUGCUGAUUAAUUAUCACAGGUAUCAUGAAAUAUACUGAUUUGGAAGGGACUCAUCAGGAUCAUCUGAUAUUUGCUUUGUACCUCACCCUGGCCCUGCAUAGUAAAAGGAAACAAGUUUCUCAUUCCCCAUCCCACCAAGAACGCUAAGACACGAAUAUGGAGUGAUUUGGGGAAUGUUUCACAGAAUAAGCUUUCCAUACACACAAAUCUAAUAAAAAAAUAAUAUCCUCCAGUUGGCAACAUAGUUGCUUCCUGCUGUCCUUUAAUUUUGCACUUUUUCUUUUCUCUUGUAAAUGACAAAUUAAUUUUAUUUCCACUGUGUUCUUGCUCUUGCACAGUGUCUUACCCAGAGCAAUGCUUUCUUAGAGCUCUGUCACAAGGACAUGCCAGGACUGCCCAGAGACAAAAGGAAAAUGAAAUGUAAGAGAUGCAGGGGAGUCAAGCCUGCUGUUAAUAACCCAGUUUCAGACAUACUUGUCCCAUCAUCCUUCUGAAGUAUUUUUAAUAGAACUGCUAUGCAAAGGGAGGCCUUAAUAAGAUGCCUACUCCUGCCCUUCCUGAAACCACCAUGUUCAUUUUUCUUGAAAACAUUCAACUAUGGUAACUUUUAAUCUGAUUUAUGACCCUUUGAGAUGCCAUUGAGGUUACAGUUGAGGCCCUUAAACUGGACAAAAUUAGAAGCAAAUAUAAAUUUAAUUUAGUAAACUUAUGAUACAAAUUAUAUCAAGAAAUCAGCACUGACAGGAAACUCUUACAUGAAAAAUCAUACUGGAAAUAGCAGAGUCCUCUGCACCUAUACACAUUGCUUCUAGCAGAUAUUCUGCCUGUCCUACUUUUGGGCAUCUACUUUUGAUCAAAAUGCUGCAGACUAAAAUAGGUAGUUCCCAUUUUGUAGUGCUUGUUUUGGGUGAACAAAAUUGUCUUCUGUCUUUAGAUGUUGAUGAAUAGAAGUCCAUGUACUCCCACGCAGGGCAAAUGUGUUUUUUGAUUGAUUCAUAAUAAUUAAUCUUUGUGUAAGUGGAAUGCAUUAAUUUCUCCUACUGCUGGUGACUGUACUUCUGUUUCUUUUCCUAUGUUAGAUGGUUGUGCUCCAGAGACAUAUUUGCUGAUUAAAUUGGACUGCAACCGGGUGCUUAGGUUAUGUCACUGUUACCUAAAUGAUCUUUUAAAGAACACAGAGUACUUGUUUUUCCUGCUCUUAUGUGCUCCACAUUUAAUCACAGAUCUUUGUAGCUUGUUAUUUCUAAAAUUCAGAUUACUGUGACUUAAAAGCCUCUCUGUCCUUGCUAGUGUUUGGUGACAUAAAAUAAACCCACAUAUUAAGAAAAGAA